rnacentral:rRNA from 1 species
CGACGAAUCUUCCGCAAUGGGCGAAAGCCUGACGGAGCAAUGCCGCGUGCGGGAUGAAGCGGCUUCGCCGUGUAAACCGCUGUCAGGGUCCAGAACCAACGAUCGGACCCAGAGGAAGGGCCGGCUAAACUCGUGCCAGCAGCCGCGGUAAGACGAGUGGCCCGAGCGUUAGGCGGAAUCACUGGGCUUAAAGGGUGCGUAGGCGGAUGCGCAAGCGUCUUGUGAAAUCCCCCGGCUCAACCGGGGAACAGCAGGGCGAACUGCGUGUCUUGAGGCAGGUAGGGGGCAACGGAACUAUCGGUGGAGCGGUGAAAUGCGUAGAUACCGAUAGGAACGCCAGUGGUGAAGACGGUUGCCUGGGCCUGUCCUGACGCUGAGGCACGAAAGCGUGGGGAGCAAACAGGAUUAGAUACCCCCGUAGUCC